rnacentral:tRNA from 3 species
GUCCUCGUAGCUCAGUUGGAUAGAGCAAUUGCCUCCUAAGCAGUAGGUCGCGCGUUCAAAUCGCGCCGAGGACG